GACGAACGCUGGCGGCGUGCCUAAUACAUGUAAGUCGAGCGAAGUUUUUCUGGUGCUUGCACUAGAAAAACUUAGCGGCGAACGGGUGAGUAACACGUAAAGAACCUGCCUCAUAGACUGGGACAACUAUUGGAAACGAUAGCUAAUACCGGAUAACAGUAUUUCUCGCAUGAGAGAUAUUUAAAAGUUGGUUAUGCUAACACUAUGAGAUGGCUUUGCGGUGCAUUAGCUAGUUGGUGGGGUAAAGGCCCACCAAGGCGACGAUGCAUAGCCGACCUGAGAGGGUGAUCGGCCACACUGGGACUGAGACACGGCCCAGACUCCUACGGGAGGCAGCAGUAGGGAAUCUUCCGCAAUGGGCGAAAGCCUGACGGAGCAACGCCGCGUGAGUGAAGAAGGAUUUCGGUUCGUAAAGCUCUGUUGUUAGGGAAGAAUGGAUAUGUAGUAACUAUACAUGUAAGAGACGGUACCUAACCAGAAAGCCACGGCUAACUACGUG
rnacentral:rRNA from 1 species